rnacentral:rRNA from 1 species
CCUAGAAUAGGGACUCUUUGGACACUCGUGAACAGGUGGUGCAUGGUUGUCGUCAGCUCGUGUCGUGAGAUGUUGGGUUAAGUCCCGCAACGAGCGCAACCCUCGUUCUAUGUUGCCAGCGCGUAAUGGCGGGAACUCAUAGGAGACUGCCGGGGUCAACUCGGAGGAAGGUGGGGAUGACGUCAAAUCAUCAUGCCCCUUAUGUCUUGGGCUUCACGCAUGCUACAAUGGCCGGUACAAAGGGCUGCAAUACCGUAAGGUGGAGCGAAUCCCAAAAAGCCGGUCUCAGUUCGGAUUGAGGUCUGCAACUCGACCUCAUGAAGUCGGAGUCGCUAGUAAUCGCAGAUCAGCAACGCUGCGGUGAAUACGUUCCCGGGCCUUGUACACACCGCCCG